rnacentral:rRNA from 1 species
UUGACGGCAGCGGGUUGUAGCAAUACAAUGCCGGCGAGUGGCGCACGGGUGCGUAACACGUAUGCAACCUACCCUAUACUGGGGCAUAACCUUUAGAAAUGAGGGCUAAUACUCCAUGUAAUUAUGAGAAGGCAUCUUUUUAUAAUUAAAGAUUUAUCGGUAUAGGAUGGGCAUGCGUCCCAUUAGUUAGUUGGUAAGGUAACGGCUUACCAAGACUAUGAUGGGUAGGGGUCCUGAGAGGGUUCACCCCCACACUGGUACUGAGACACGGACCAGACUCCUACGGGAGGCAGCAGUAAGGAAUAUUGGGCAAUGGCCGUAAGGCUGACCCAGCCAUGCCGCGUGCAGGAAGACGGCCUUAUGGGUUGUAAACUGCUUUUUUGUGGGAAUAACCGUAGCUAUGCGUAGCUACCUGCAAGUACCAUAAGAAUAAGCAUCGGCUAACUCCGUGCCAGCAGCCGCGGUAAUACGGAGGAUGCGAGCGUUAUCCGGAAUCAUUGGGUUUAAAGGGUGCGUAGGCUGGUAUUUAAGUCAGUGGUGAAAUUUUCGUGCUUAACAUGAGAGCUGCCAUUGAUACUGGGUACCUAGAGUGUAUUUGAUGUGGGCGGAAUGUGUUGUGUAGCGGUGAAAUGCUUAGAUAUGACACAGAACACCGAUAGCGAAGGCAGCUCACAAAGUUACAACUGACGCUGAUGCACGAAAGCGUGGGGAUCAAACAGGAUUAGAUACGCUGGUAGUCCACGCUGUAAACGAUGAUCACUAGCUGUUGGCGAUAUACAGUCAGUGGCUAAGCUAAAGCGAUAAGUGAUCCACCUGGGGAGUACGUCCGCAAGGAUGAAACUCAAAGGAAUUGACGGGGGCCCGCACAAGCGGAGGAGCAUGUGGUCUAAUUCGAUGAUACGCGAGGAACCUUACCUGGGCUUGAACGUAUGGUGCAUUGCAGUGAAAGCUGCAUUUC